GACAGAAAUGAUGGGAAAUAAGUAAACAGCCUUUUAAAUCUUCACCAGAAAUCAAUAGGGUUUAAAGAUGAUGGACGUUGGUGUUUUUUGCUGCUUAAGGACUUCAACCUUUUACGGGAAAAUAUCUUCUCUACGUGUCAGCAGUUUUUUCCAUGCACACAAUGAAUCGCUGCUGCAAAUAGAACAUUCUGCAUAGAACACUCUUCAUCAUUAUUAUAAGAAAGAAGCUGUGUAAGACUGGCCUUGGUAAUGUAGAGCCUUUUGGGGCAUUUUUGUAUGAAAAGAGAGGACCAUAUCUUACAAUUUUGUUUUCAUCAUAAGUGUAAUUUAUGUGCCAAACUUUUUCCUCAACUAAAUAAUAACAGUUUUUAUAUACUGAGAACCUCCUUUGUACUGGGCAUUGACUGUGUGAUGUUUUAAGGUAGAUUAUUUGACCCCACUUUAUAGAUGACAAAAUUGGAGCCCAGAGGCUCUAAGUUCGUCUGACUAGUGAUAGAACUGAUACUUAAAACCCUAGUCCAUCUGAGUUUAAAGCUUAUCCUUUUACUACUUUCCAGCUGUGUCUCUGAGGACAGGCACUCAAUAGGUGUUCUUGCCCUUGGUUCUAUUUCUUCGGUAGUGGUAUCUCUUAUUUUCUUUCUCCUUUUCCCCCUAGUCAGUAAAACUAAUAUAAGUGAUGGCCUUCACAUCAUUUAAUAAGAGGAUAAGAGCUACAUCAUGGUCAUUGAAUAAAAGAAUAUGGGUUAAGAACUGCUUCCCAGUAUACUCUGCAGAUUUGAUUUAUUAUGAAUGAUUUAUGAGAUAUUAGAUUGCUGUAUAGUAGUUAGCAGUGUAUUCACAAUCAGCUGCACUCUAAUGCCAAGUGUUGAAAUAUUAACUGAACGUAUCAUGUAGUGUCCUUUGUUUAUAACAUAAUAAUCUUGACUUUACAAAAUAGUUAACUUUCCAGCUGUUUAAUUUGU
rnacentral:lncRNA from 10 species